rnacentral:rRNA from 1 species
GACGAACGCUGGCGGCGUGCUUAACACAUGCAAGUCGAACGGAAAGGCCCUGCUUUUGUUGGGUGCUCGAGUGGCGAACGGGUGAGUAACACGUGAGUAACCUGCCCUUGACUUUGGGAUAACUUCAGGAAACUGGGGCUCAUACCGGAUAGGAGCUCCUGCUGCAUGUUGGGGGUUGGAAAGUUUCGGCCGUGGGGGAUGGACUCGCGGCUUAUCAGCUGGUUGGUGUGGUAGUGGCUUACCAAGGCUUGGACGGGUAGCCGGCCUGAGAGGGUGACCGGGCACCUGGGGCCUGCGAGACGGCCCAGACGCCUACGGGAGGCAGCAGUGGGGAAUAUGACAGAAUGGGCGGAAGUCUGAUGCAGCAACGCCGCGUGCGGGAUGACGGCCUUCGGGUUGUAAACCGCUUUCGCUUGUGACGAAGAGUGAGUGACGGUAAUGGGUAAAGAAGCACCGGCUAACUACGUG